rnacentral:rRNA from 1 species
AUUGAACGCUGGCGGCAGGCUUAACACAUGCAAGUCGAGCGGAGAUGAGGUGCUUGCACCUUAUCUUAGCGGCGGACGGGUGAGUAAUGCUUAGGAAUCUGCCUAUUAGUGGGGGACAACAUUCCGAAAGGAAUGCUAAUACCGCAUACGCCCUAUGGGGGAAAGCAGGGGAUCUUCGGACCUUGCGCUAAUAGAUGAGCCCAAGUCGGAUUAGCUAGUUGGUGGGGUAAAGGCCUACCAAGGCGACGAUCUGUAGCGGGUCGGAGAGGAUGAGCCGCCACACUGGGACUGAGACACGGCCCAGACUCCUACGGGAGGCAGCAGUGGGGAAUAUUGGACAAUGGGCGGAAGCCUGAUCCAGCCAUGCCGCGUGUGUGAAGAAGGCCUUUUGGUUGUAAAGCACUUUAAGCGAGGAGGAGGCUACCUGGAUUAAUACUCUAGGAUAGUGGACGUUACUCGCAGAAUAAGCACCGGCUAACUCUGUGCCAGCCGCCGCAGUAAGAC